rnacentral:rRNA from 1 species
CGGUGGUGGAGGGUGGGGGAGUGAGAAUGCAGGCAUGAGUAGCGACAAGGCAAGUGAGAACCUUGCCCGCCGAAAGACCAAGGGUUCCUGGGCCAGGCCAGUCCGCCCAGGGUGAGUCGGGACCUAAGGCGAGGCCGACAGGCGUAGUCGAUGGACAACGGGUUGAUAUUCCCGUACCCGUGUGUGGGCGCCCGUGACGAAUCAGCGGUACUAACCACCCAAAACCGGAUCGAUCACUCCCCUUCGGGGGUGUGGAGUUCUGGGGCUGCGUGGGAACUUCGCUGGUAGUAGUCAAGCGAAGGGGUGACGCAGGAAGGUAGCCGUACCAGUCAGUGGUAACACUGGGGCAAGCCGGUAGGGAGAGCGAUAGGCAAAUCCGUCGCUCACUAAUCCUGAGAGGUGACGCAUAGCCGGUUGAGGCGAAUUCGGUGAUCCUCUGCUGCCAAGAAAAGCCUCUAGCGAGCACACACACGGCCCGUACCCCAAACCGACACAGGUGGUCAGGUAGAGCAUACCAAGGCGUACGAGAUAACUAUGGUUAAGGAACUCGGCAAAAUGCCCCCGUAACUUCGGGAGAAGGGGGACCGGAAUAUCGUGAACACCCUUGCGGUGGGAGCGGGAUCCGGUCGCAGAAACCAGUGAGGAGCGACUGUUUACUAAAAACACAGGUCCGUGCGAAGUCGCAAGACGAUGUAUACGGACUGACGCCUGCCCGGUGCUGGAAGGUUAAGAGGACCCGUUAACCCGCAAGGGUGAAGCGGAGAAUUUAAGCCCCAGUAAACGGCGGUGGUAACUAUAACCAUCCUAAGGUAGCGAAAUUCCUUGUCGGGUAAGUUCCGACCUGCACGAAUGGCGUAACGACUUCUCAACUGUCUCAACCAUAGACUCGGCGAAAUUGCACUACGAGUAAAGAUGCUCGUUACGCGCGGCAGGACGAAAAGACCCCGGGACCUUCACUACAACUUGGUAUUGAUGUUCGGUACGGUUUGUGUAGGAUAGGUGGGAGACUGUGAAACCUCGACGCCAGUUGGGGCGGAGUCAUUGUUGAAAUACCACUCUGAUCGUAUUGGGCAUCUAACCUCGAACCCUGAAUCGGGUUUAGGGACAGUGCCUGGCGGGUAGUUUAACUGGGGCGGUUGCCUCCUAAAAUGUAACGGAGGCGCCCAAAGGUUCCCUCAACCUGGACGGCAAUCAGGUGGCGAGUGUAAAUGCACAAGGGAGCUUGACUGCGAGACUUACAAGUCAAGCAGGGACGAAAGUCGGGAUUAGUGAUCCGGCACCCCCGAGUGGAAGGGGUGUCGCUCAACGGAUAAAAGGUACCCCGGGGAUAACAGGCUGAUCUUCCCCAAGAGUCCAUAUCGACGGGAUGGUUUGGCACCUCGAUGUCGGCUCGUCGCAUCCUGGGGCUGGAGCAGGUCCCAAGGGUUGGGCUGUUCGCCCAUUAAAGCGGCACGCGAGCUGGGUUUAGAACGUCGUGAGACAGUUCGGUCUCUAUCCGCCGCGCGCGUCAGAAACUUGAGGAAACCUGUCCCUAGUACGAGAGGACCGGGACGGACGAACCUCUGGUGCACCAGUUGUCCCGCCAGGGGCACCGCUGGAUAGCCACGUUCGGUCAGGAUAACCGCUGAAAGCAUCUAAGCGGGAAACCUUCUCCAAGAUCAGGUUUCUCACCCACUUGGUGGGAUAAGGCCCCCCGCAGAACACGGGUUCAAUAGGUCAGACCUGGAAGCUCAGUAAUGGGUGUAGGGAACUGGUGCUAACCGGCCGAAAACUUACAACACCC